CAAAGAAGCUAGGUUGAAAAGGUCUCUUUGGGGUUCUGAGGCAAGGUCUCAUGGAGCUAGCUUAGCCUCAGAUUUAUGCAGCAGAAGAUGACUUUGAACUUCUGGUCCUCUUGUCCGACCCUCUGGACUAUGAGGAUAACUAGAAUCUUGAUCCUUAGGCUACAGGGUCUCUAUUUGUUAUUUUCAUACUCUCCUCACAUAGGUCAUAGACUCCAUUCCAGACCUAGGGAUAUAGAAACGUGUCGAAAAGACCACAAAUGGAAGCAGUGGAGGACAGUGCCUAUUAGUCUCCAUUUGCCCAUUCAAGGUGUCUGAAACCGGAUCCCUCUCAGAGAGUAGUUUCUCUAGUAACCAUGAGGCAACCAUUAUAAAGCAGAGUGACACCCUGUGGACUAAUCAGGAGUCCUUCUUGAUAGAUGGUGAGGGUAUUCAACCCUGCCUCUUGUCCACUUACAGUCCAGCCACGUUGACCGGUCCACAGCCUUUUCCCAAGCCCUCCAACUGCAGAACUGUACACCCCAGCUGCUUUCCCCCACGGCCUGCCACUGAGCCAUUUUCUUCUGCAGUGCACACAGCUUCUGCUGCCAGGAUGAGUCACCUCGGCACUCAUCCCCUCAGCCCCUCCACUCUGUACUUAAAAUACUCCGGGGCUGGCCGAAAAGAACCCCGCUGUGUGUGAGCACGUGUGUGAGUGUGUGAACGUGGGGUUGGCAGCUCAGCCUUCCGCAGCCUCUGCAGAGCCUGAGUGCAUUCUGUUUGCCAGAGGGCUUUAGAGAGCUGACUGCUCCAGGGAGUUCUGUUUUCGGCUCUGGUUCUCUCAAGCAGGCUGCCAAGUCGCACUCUUCCCUUUGUGGGCACCUCCAUUUUAGUCUCCCUGGCUAGGGGCAGAAGAAUCUUAUAGGUGAUGUGUUCAGUCUCGUCUUCUCAACCCCGUUUCUGGAUGGCCAUCUUGCUGCAGUCAGGAAUAUCUAUCUCAUCCUGCUUUUACCUGCUGGACCCUGUCUCUGCCCCCCAGCCCUGGGAACAGCCCUGGUGAACAAGCGCCUUGACCAAAGUGGAGAAGCUGGCAGACCUGGAAGCGGGGAAUGUGAAUACCUCUCUGUCUCGGUUUUCCCAGGGCUGCUCUAGAUGGGAAGAUGGUGAAAUGCAUAAGACAGCUCCAGAUGGUGGAGACUGGCUGGGCAGGUGGAGCUUGAGGUGAGCCAGAGACAGAAAUGGGUCCCACAUAAGUGGGCUGAGAUCAUGUUCUCCCAUGGCAACACUAGCUCUGGUGGGAACAGGGAUGAUUCUAAGGAACCUAAAGGGGGAUGCUGCGAUGGCCCUGCAUGCCUGACCUGCGCAGAGCUGAGGAACUCACCUGAGAAGGGGAGAAAUCUACCCAAGGAAGACCGGGCAAGGGCAAGAAAGUCAAGCAAGCUUGUCUCCCACUCCCCACUCCCAGUAUAACUGGCAUUUAUCAUACAAGUCGACAGCUAAGGGGCAGCACUUUUCUUUUCUUUUCUUUUCUUUUCUUUUCUUUCCUUUCCUUUUUCUUUUCCUCUUCUUUCUUUCUUUCUCUCUUUCUUUCUUUCUUUCUUUCUUUCUUUCUUUCUUUCUUUCUUUCUUUCUUUCUUUCUUUCUCAAUAGUAA
rnacentral:lncRNA from 1 species